UACGAAGGGUGCAAACGUUGCUCGGAAUUAUUGGGCGUAAAGCGCACGUAGGCGGCUUUGCAAGUCGGGAUGUGAAAUCCCUCGGCUUAACCAAGGAAGUGCAUCCGAAACUGCAGAGCUUGAGUACUUAAGAGGAUCGCGGAAUUCCCGGUGUAGAGGUGAAAUUCGUAGAUAUCGGGAGGAACACCAGUGGCGAAGGCGGCGUCUGGGAAGAUACUGACGCUGAGGUGCGAAAGCGUGGGGAGCAAACAGG
rnacentral:rRNA from 1 species